rnacentral:sRNA from 1 species
GCCGGGCACAGUGGCCCGUGCCUAUAAUCCUAAAGGCUCGGGAGGCUGAGGCAGGAGGAUUGCAAGUUCAAAGACAGCCUCAGCAAAAGCAAGGUGCUAAGCAAUUAAGUGAGACCCUGUCUCUA